rnacentral:rRNA from 1 species
GAGGUUAAGCGACUAAGCGUACACGGUGGAUGCCCUGGCAGUCAGAGGCGAUGAAGGGCGUGCUAAUCUGCGAUAAGCGCCGGUAAGGUGAUAUGAACCGUUAUAACCGGCGAUACCCGAAUGGGGAAACCCAGUGUGAUUCGUCACACUAUCAUUAACUGAAUCCAUAGGUUAAUGAGGCGAACCGGGGGAACUGAAACAUCUAAGUACCCCGAGGAAAAGAAAUCAACCGAGAUUCCCCCAGUAGCGGCGAGCGAACGGGGAGGAGCCCAGAGCCUGAAUCAGCAUGUGUGUUAGUGGAAGCGUCUGGAAAGGCGCGCGAUACAGGGUGACAGCCCCGUACACAAAAGCGCAUGUGCUGUGAGCUCGAUGAGUAGGGCGGGACACGUGGUAUCCUGUCUGAAUAUGGGGGGACCAUCCUCCAAGGCUAAAUACUCCUGACUGACCGAUAGUGAACCAGUACCGUGAGGGAAAGGCGAAAAGAACCCCGGCGAGGGGAGUGAAAAAGAACCUGAAACCGUGUACGUACAAGCAGUGGGAGCACCCUUUGGGGUGUGACUGCGUACCUUUUGUAUAAUGGGUCAGCGACUUAUAUUCUGUAGCAAGGUUAACCGUAUAGGGGAGCCGGAGGGAAACCGAGUCUUAACCGGGCGUUAAGUUGCAGGGUAUAGACCCGAAACCCGGUGAUCUAGCCAUGGGCAGGUUGAAGGUUGGGUAACACUAACUGGAGGACCGAACCGACUAAUGUUGAAAAAUUAGCGGAUGACCUGUGGCUGGGGGUGAAAGGCCAAUCAAACCGGGAGAUAGCUGGUUCUCCCCGAAAGCUAUUUAGGUAGCGCCUCGUGAAUUCAUCUCCGGGGGUAGAGCACUGUUUCGGCUAGGGGGCCAUCCCGGCUUACCAACCCGAUGCAAACUGCGAAUACCGGAGAAUGUUAUCACGGGAGACACACGGCGGGUGCUAACGUCCGUCGUGAAGAGGGAAACAACCCAGACCGCCAGCUAAGGUCCCAAAGUCAUGGUUAAGUGGGAAACGAUGUGGGAAGGCCCAGACAGCCAGGAUGUUGGCUUAGAAGCAGCCAUCAUUUAAAGAAAGCGUAAUAGCUCACUGGUCGAGUCGGCCUGCGCGGAAGAUGUAACGGGGCUAAACCAUGCACCGAAGCUGCGGCAGCGACGCUGAUGCGUUGUUGGGUAGGGGAGCGUUCUGUAAGCCUGCGAAGGUGGCCUGUGAGGGUUGCUGGAGGUAUCAGAAGUGCGAAUGCUGACAUAAGUAACGAUAAAGCGGGUGAAAAGCCCGCUCGCCGGAAGACCAAGGGUUCCUGUCCAACGUUAAUCGGGGCAGGGUGAGUCGACCCCUAAGGCGAGGCCGAAAGGCGUAGUCGAUGGGAAACGGGUUAAUAUUCCCGUACUUGGUGUUACUGCGAAGGGGGGACGGAGAAGGCUAUGUUGGCCGGGCGACGGUU